rnacentral:lncRNA from 1 species
AUUGCAGGAAACCUGUCUGGAAAAACCCUGAGGGGUAAAUGCCAAUUAAUGCAUAUGAAGAUCUGUCAGAGACCAUGAAAAUAAAAUCAGCAUAAGGUGGUUUUCUUCUGCCUGUUUCAUCUAAGAUACAGUCAAACCCAAGCAUGUUAAGGCUACUCUGAGUAACCUAUUUCUGUGUGCAAAGCAACUUGCCUGUCUUCAAAGAAACAACAGCUAUUGCUCCAAAAAGAAAUGUUUCAGCCUCUUCUGGGGGCAGACCUAGUUUUUUAUUCAUUUCUUUGUUUAUUUUCAGAUAUUAAAACCUGGAAAGCUCUUCGACUGACCGGGGACACCACAGGAACUCCUUUUGCUUUGAACAGAUGCGGCGCCCUUCCUCCUCCUCACUGCUGUUUCCCACUGAGCGUCUGCUGGGAUGAGCUGGUUGGUGGCCAUGGCUCACGUGAGCAUUACUGGUGGUAUUCCUGACCUGAUUUACAAAGAUGGAAACCAGCAAUGAACACACAGAAAGGAGAUGCAGCUGGUGAGAAAGCAGAACUGGGCUCAAUGCUUCUUCAGUAGCUUACAUUUACAGGUGAGCAGAGGAGUAGUGUCCAUUAUUAAAUACACAAUUUCAAGCAUACAACAACAGAGGUACGCUGUUCUGCUGAUAGAACAGCAUAAUUCCUCUUGUGGUCUCGCUAUGAUAAAACUAGAAAAAAGGUAACAAUCAAGGUUGUGGAAUCUAGUUUCCUCGUGAUAUCUGAUCACCUCACCAGAAGGAAAGGUCUAAUGAUCAAAAUGGACAGAGAUGUAUCCAACAUAGUGAGCUGCAAGAAUUGGUAACGUUGGCUUACUGUAUCAAAAUAUCGUAAUUCCAGUAGCCUCUUCUUAGUAAAUUCAUGUAAAUUACUUUAUGAUGUCUGCAUUAGUCUGUGCACUGAUUUAUCAAGUGUCUCAUUUACGAAAUUCCCCUUACUGAUAACAAACAAUUAUCACUUCAGGUAAUUGAUUUAAAACACGGUGUCGAGCAUUGUCAGCUGAUACUGUGCCAAGAAUUAUGGUGCAUAUUAGUACAGACCAAAAGUUGACAUGCCUUUUUCUUGCUCUACCAGAUCAGUAUCUGGAGUAAGAUGGUGGCAUCCACCAGGAUUGUACUCAGAGCUCGUGGAAUAUGAGCACACUUUGAGGCAGGACUGGGUUUCUUUUUCAUAUAAUUUAUCUUAACAUUUAUAAGGCACAGAAAGCACGAUGAUCUUAGGGAGAAGUGUGCAGGGAGAAGCUGAGACUGCUUCUGCUAGAGUUUAUUGUAAUGUUGUAGAUUGGGUCUCUCUAAUGUGGGACAAGCUCAGAACUUCCUAGGAUCCUUCCUGCAAAAUGCUGCCAAGAGUUUAACACAUCAAGUCUUGUAAGCAUAGCCACUGGCAAUCUUUCUAGGCAGUCAGAGGGACUGAGGCACCUUAAAACAAGGCCCUGAUCAGUGCAGAAA